rnacentral:lncRNA from 1 species
GAGUCUUUGCUUCAUUGACUCUUUGGUACAGUGUGGCCAUAGUUAACAAAGAGCUACAUACUUAGAAUGCAAUCUCAGUGCUUUUCCCGGAAGGCUCACUCUUCUCUUGUAGAAGUCUCUAUGUGCAGCAACCUGACCCAAAGCUGUUAUUAUCCUCAUGAAUGAGCUCAGAAGGAAGAAGUGGAUGCAGCCAGAGGUGCCAACGCGGAAGUACAGGGGAUCCCAGGAAAGAUAACGUCAUUUAAACUAUACCUUCCUGGACUGGCUGGAAUGAAGCCUUGCUGAGAAGAAAGGCUUCAAAUACUUGCCAACUUACUUCAUUAAGAUACUUCAUUGUACUGGAUACCACUGCUGUGUGAUGUGUGCAAACCUUUGCAAUCCUUUCAAAGAACAUCUGCUCAACUGUGCAU